UACGGGGGGGGCAAAUGUUGUUCGGAAUCACUGGGCGUAAAGGGAGCGUAGGCGGGCUCUUAAGUUAGGUGUUUAAUCCCGGGGCCCAACCCCGGUCGUGCACUUAAAACUGGGAGUCUUGAAUAGUGGAGAGGUCAGUGGAAUUGGGGGUGUAGCGGUGGAAUGCGUAGAGAUCCCCAAGAACACCAGUUGCGAAGGCGGCUGACUGGACACAUAUUGACGCUGAGGCUCGAAAGCAUGGGGAGCAAACAGG
rnacentral:rRNA from 1 species